CAAAAAUGUACUUUAUUAAAGUGGAACUUUUAUAUUGAUAUAAAAGAUACAGACUUGGGCUAAAAGAAAAAUUAAGAUAGAGUUAGACACUCAUAUAAAAACAUUAAAAGUUAGCUAAGCUUAUUUUAAUGUAGGACAAUAUUGUAAAUUACGAAAAUAAGAUGAAAGAUAAUAUUGUAAAUGUUGAUGUCCGAAUAAUAUUUCAUUUUCUAGCAUUAUUAGUAAGAAGAAAUAAUUGUUUAUGACUCAGUACUCUUUAUAUUGAUAAUCAGUGGAAUAUAUAGCUUUUUUUUUUCACUUACAUUGUCUAGAACAUGAGUUUUUGUUCAAUGUUAGGUGUUUGCCCUGUAAAAGGGAGANAAUGCAGAAGCUACUAAGUAAAAGUCAGGAAGACAGGUUUCAUUUAAUUUNCUUGAAAAGUAUUUGGAAACACACUCAAACGCCUCUAUGUGGGGAAAUGAGCUCCUAGAUGUAGGCUACCAACCUUUAUGCAUCCAGAUUCCCUACACUGCAAGGGCUCUUAAUUUUGAACUAAGAACUCCAGCCUCACGUUUUGUUCCUUAGUUGGUAUAAGGCUUGUUUCUUGCAUAUUAUUUUCUCUGUUAGUUUUGUUAACAUGAAGAUAUUUGGUAUUAUUUUUUAUAAUUUGAUAGUUUAUUUGACUUUUAUCAAUAUAUGAAACUAUUAGUUAUUGGGUGUA